AACGUAGGUACCGAGCGUUAUCCGGAUUUACUGGGCGUAAAGCGCGUUCAGGCGGUUUGGCAAGUCGGGCAUGAAAUCUCUCGGCUCAACCGGGAGAGGUUGUCCGAUACUUCCAGACUUGAGGGCAGUAGAGGGUGGUGGAAUUCCGGGUGUAGCAGUGAAAUGCGUAGAGAUCCGGAGGAACACCAGAGGCGAAGGCGGCCUACUGGGCUGCACCUGACGCUGAGCCGCGAAAGCCAGGGGAGCGAACGGG
rnacentral:rRNA from 1 species